AAAGGAAAUGAGCCAGAAAAUCAGACCUCUGGACAAUUAAAAUUCAGUGUCCAAGUCAAACCAGUGACAAUCUUUUAGGUAGAUUGUAUAAAUUCAGCUUAUUGUAGAUUUUAAAAGAAAACAAUUUUGAAGUUUCUUAUCACCAGGAACAGCUGCUAGACCUCCAAAUGGAACUUCCUAAUGAGUGUGGAAACAAAAUCUGUUUCUUUAUUUCCCAGAUACCCCGUAUUUGCCUGGCUACCAACCAACACUGACCAGCUGCUGCUCUCUAUUCUCCAGCCACCUGGUCUUACUGCUGACAUUUGAGUUUGGAAAGAGUAUGUGCUUCUUUCUAAAUAUUCCAGAUAUUAUCCCUUAUUUGCACUGUAGCUGGCUUCUGGAUUGACUCUAAUAGAAAAUGUCAAAAUCUCCCUAGUCUUUCUUGAGACACAAUGAAGUGCUUGGAGGGUGUCAUUGAGGAGACUGGCAGUCAUUGUCCCUUCCUUGUUCUGUGUUUGUCAGUAGUGUGGAGAUAGAGAAACUUAAAUCUACAUUUGCAAGACCCUUUCACAAGGAGGAUUCUUGAUGUAAUAUAGUUUAUCCAGUUAAGUUGAAAAAGGAAAGGAAGCAGAGCUAUACAUUUGCAACUGCUGCUAUGACUCCUGUAAAGUUUGGUCAGGAAGCCUCUGGGAUUUUCUGCAGCUGCGCUUUAGUUGGAGAUCAAUUACAGAGCCAUCGUGAAAAUCAUCAGGUGAUGGAAGUUUCAGUGAAUAGUCAUCAGGUAUUGAAAAUGUAGAUUUAAGCCUUCUCAAUCUCCACACUACUGACAAACAAAGAAGGAAAGAAGAAUGGCGGCCAUAGUAUCCUCCAUGAGACCCUUCAAACACUUCACUGUCUCAUCAAGUGUGUGAAUUGAGAGGCAGGAUGUGGUAGCUGAAUAUCGACUUUCUGAUUCCUGGACAGAAGCUAGGGCUGUGUAUUUGUGGAUCCAGCAAUUCCUUGGAGGUUUACGCCCACCAUAUGCAGGGCUUCAGGAGGAAGAAAGCCUUUCUAGUGGAGGUCAUUAGCAUCACUGGAGGUCAACAGUAGCUGCUGAGGGAGAGACUGACCCAUCUCAAGAAGAUAGAGAAGAUUUUUCCGACUGAAACAACAUAUUAAAGGCCAAGGGCAUCCCGAAAUCUCAGAAGAAAACUAUAGCCUGUUGGAAAAUGAGAACUGGACUCUUAUUCUGCUCUGCAUCUGUGUAGAUGAAGCCCCGACACACAGCCUAACGGUUAAUGACUUCUUGAAUCUCACUGCUGCUGCGCUCCAUUCCCUGGCUGCAAAAUGGAGAAAGCACCUGGAUCCACAGUGAUGACAUCUGUCUGACCUAGCAUUUCUCCACCUGCCAUCUCUGACUGACCUUGGCCAUGUCUUUUGGAUGGCUUGGAUGCCACACUCUGCUGUACACUGUCACUCACCAAUCUCACCACUUUGAAUGCUAACCUGAACUCUGCUUGAGUUUGCCUCAUCCCUUGCCCUUUACUAGACUAUUCAUUCAGCUAAAGCAAGAGUAACAACUGUCCUUUCCACAGUUUUUGCUUCUGCUGAGUCUCUGUUGGAAAACAUUCAACAUCCUUAUACCUAAAUCCCCUCAUGUUAUGGACAACAUCUAAGCAAUAAUAAGCGUAAUAGAUAAAAUGAAGUAUCUUAUUAAAUUCAUUAAUUACCUGGUUGAGAAUAGGAUGCUGAAAUAAAAGAAAUCAUGUGUUUUUCUGCUUGUUUUUUUGGGUUUUUUUGUUUUUAUAAGAAAGAGGAACAGUUUCAUGAGAAUCUUCCCAGAAUGGGAAAUUUUAGUGACUUAGCAAAAUUGGGUGCUUGAGCAAUCUGGUGGCGGUAUGAUGUCAGGGGUGUGGAAGAGAACAGACACAAAUGCGCUGAUGAGUAAAUAGAGUUGAUGCAAUGGACAAUACUGAACAUCUAUCCUUAAGCUCUUUUCCAAUGUUUCCUGGGACUCUGGUCAAAACUUCAAAUAAAUCUGCUUUAAAAGUCCCAGUAAGAAAUCUUCCUCUCUCUGCAAAUGGAUGGCUGUUGUCCACUUCUAGGAGACUGUAAUUUAACUCCAUAGAAAAGGUCAAACAAACAUACUCUGAACUGAAGGACACCAGUCCUCAGGUGCAAGCAGGAUUCCUGUACUGAAAAAAAAUAGAUGGACAAGAACAAUUGCAUACUGAAUACUGACACUCUCAGUGGUCUUGUCCAACUAGGUUCCCAGAAUUCUGCCAGCUCAUCUCUCCCAAGACCUGGAAGGUUAUUCUCUGAAGACUCGGACCAACCAAAGGGGAAAAAGCUCAUUAUUCAUGUGUGUAGAUUAGUGAUCAUGGUUAUCUUUGGAUUAUAUAGUGCUUUAUACUUUUCUGUAUUCUUCCCAUUUUCUAUAAUAAGCAUGUAUUUAUUCAUCUUUAAUCAUAAAAAUUAAUAUUCAUGAGUAAAUACUUCUGGGCACUAUGCUAAGCAACUUAAAUUCAUUAUCUCUUUUAAUUCUCACGGUAAUCUUAGAAGUUAGGUAUUAUUUAAUUGUCACUUAAUAAUUGAGGAAACAUGGUCCUAGAGGUUAAAUAAUUGUUCACCAUCAGGUAACUAAUAACUGACUGACUUAGAUUUGAACCCAGUCUGUCUGGCUCCAAGCCAGUGUUGUGACUCAGUACCUUAAAAUGCCUCAAACAAUUUUAAAACGUUUUUCAAAGGAGGGGUUUCUAAACUCCUCAAAUUAUCCAAUCUCUUUAUUUUCAUAUCUUGCUCUAAUAAGCAUCAAAUUAUAUUUCAUAGCCAUUUCUUAUUUCUCCAGUUUCUGAUCUCAUAAUUUGUUUUAUUGUUUGUUUGUUUAUGCCCAGCUACAUCCUUUGAACAUGAUGUUUGAUACCUGACUCUGCUUUAAUUGAUAUAAAUGGUCAGAAGUGCUGUGGGGCUUUGGUAACACCCCUUAGGCAAUGUGUGGAGA
rnacentral:lncRNA from 1 species